UACAGAGGGUGCGAGCGUUAAUCGGAAUUACUGGGCGUAAAGCGCGCGUAGGCGGCUUUGCAAGUCGGGUGUGAAAUCCCCAGGCUUAACCUGGGAACUGCAUUCGAGACUGCAUUGCUAGAGUAUGGGAGAGGGAAGUGGAAUUUCCGGUGUAGCGGUGAAAUGCGUAGAUAUCGGAUGGAACAUCAGUGGCGAAAGCGACUUCCUGGACCAAUACUGACGCUCAUGUGCGAAAGCGUGGGGAGCAAACAGG
rnacentral:rRNA from 1 species